CCUGGGACUGGCUCGUUCUUUUGCAUCCUCCUCGCCUUCUCUCUAGCAGCUUUGGUCCCAUGCGUCAUCCUCAUCCGAUGUCAUCCCGCCUCGGGAACUCGGGUUUAUUACUGUGUGUGAUUAGCGUGAUCCAAAGGUACAGAAUGGAUCUUGAAGAAAAGGGCCCUUGCUGGGCCUCCAAAGGAACCCCGUGUAGACAUCGAGAACCUUUGGCCUCCUGACCUCUGGGGUUUACUGUUGGCAGAAAGCAGACUGAGUGGAGCAAGAUAAAUCCAGGAGUGGGGAAAUGAAGUGGUGCACAUUUCUCCUGAGUGCCCCAUGCGCACAUGGCUGGAUAGACAUAGGAUCCGGAUAAUGGAGGAGGUCAGGAACCCUGUGUGCCAUUGGUCAGAAAGUAGAUUGAUUAUUGUCUGAUCUUCCCCUUGGCUUGGUUCAGUCUGUCCAGUAGCAGUUUCUGGCCCGUGGAGUUGAAAUACAAGGCCUCUUGGGAAAGACUGAUCCUGCAUUUUCCUGAUAAAGCAUAAUAAAUUUUGUAGGCUUCCUAUCUGGAAAAGGAAAAUAAAAAGUUCUUAAAAUAAAAA